ensembl:lncRNA LRRC77P leucine rich repeat containing 77, pseudogene
GUUGUUUAUGUAAGAAUUUCAAGGCCACAACUCCAUAUUUGAAGUAAAGUGCUCAUAAAAUUAAUUGCAAGGAAAUCCAUCACUAUGAUUCAGUAAGUAAACAAAUUCAAGGUGUCACAUCAUAUUGCUUUUUAUGCUUUUGAUUUUAGUAAUAUCCUUUCACAUUCAUAAUCCAGAUAGAGAGAUAAGCAAGAUUGUAUCCACCAAGCCUCCUCUUUAUUGAUCUUCCAAACUGAAAAACAUAGCUGCCAUUUUAGUCAGCAGUUAAACUUUAUUAUAGAAUAUUUUUAUACCUUUUCUGCUAACAUUACCUGCAACUCCCAUGGUGAUGCUCAAAUCCCAUUUGGGAAUUCAGUGAACUAGCAGAAUGAAAUUCUAAGAGACUGGGGCUUGUUGAUGUGUCCACGCUUUCCAUGGGAACUGAUGUUAAAUAUUUCACAAAUACCAUAACUUCCAGGAAUUCACAUAUUCUUUAUUGAAUGUAGAAUUGUGAAAUCUUUAAGAAAUAACUGAAUCAUUAUUUCUUCACUGUCUCCUGCCUGUGAAAGCAGAACUAUGAA